rnacentral:lncRNA from 1 species
ACGAAAUUGAGGUACGCAGAAGAUGAAGAAACCUGAGAAUUGAUGAUCGAAUGAAGAGUCGGAGCUCGAGCAUCACAUAGUCGUCAGCUAUGGUGGCUUGUGGGCGGAUGUUUCUCAGACCUAAGUUGUUGCCGCUGGACCGUGGUUACAUUCAUCCUAGCUUGGAGGAAACGGUGUGGGUGGGUAUGCAUGUGCAGGGCGAAGAAGUGGACGAAGGCCGAAGAAGCAAUCUCUGCCUCCCUAUCGCUGCGUCCUGCUCCUCAAUAUGUCACCUUAGUCAUGGCCGCCUUAUCCCUCAUGCUGCUGAUUUGAAUCUGCCCUACUCUUCUUCUCCUAGACUGCUCGAGCGCUUCAGUGGGUGCCUUGCCGACGACAGGGAAGGAAGGACCAGAGUAAGUAUAAUAUGGAAGUUCCUGUUCAAAUUAGUAGAAUAUGCUUACCAGGGGUUAGAAUUUAUAGAUAUAUACCACAAUUUUCACUACAGAUUAAAUAUAAUAUGAAAGUUCUUGUCAGUUUUCUUUGUAGUUAGUUUGCGACAAUCACAACAUGAUCAUUUGAAUAUUUUGUUGUAACAAAUCUAUUAUAGCUAUUGUUGUGAAAGAAAAAUCCUUAAAAAAUCACCCAAUAGCAACCCGAGGAAGUUAAGAGACAUAAAUGAUCCAGAUAUGGUUCCAUUAUGCUCCCUCUGUUCGAUAAUAUAUGACGUUUUCUGGCAGUACACAAUGCCAAAAACGUCUUAUAUUAUGGGACAGAAGCGAGUUUGUGAUUCUUUUGGUUAUUCUUGAUUCCACAUGCUUCAUUUGGGUGAAUAAUCCAUUGGCAUCCAAAUUUGGAGAUUAAUUCACCUAUGUAAUGUGCAUAAUCAAUGACACAUUUUUGCUAUGAUGAAUAUGUAAAUAAAUUUUGUACAAUUCCAUAAAUACACAGUUAAGCAUUUUUGUUGUAAAGAUAAUGUAGAUAAUUUUUUAUAGCUUUGCAAAUAAGAUUAACCUUGGUGUAUAAAUCCGAUCAGAGUAGAGGUAGCUAUGCAAUGGUCUUGCAUCACAUCAUUAGUCUAAAGCUCUAACCACAUUCAUGGAGAAUCUAACAUCCCAACUACGCAUAUCUGUUUGUUCCAGAAGCCACGAAAUUGAGGUACGCAGAAGAUGAACAAACCUGAGAACUGAUGAUCCAAAGAAGAGUCGGAGCUCGAGCAUCACAUAGUCGUCAGCUAUGGUGGCUUGUAGGCGGAUGUGUCUCACACCUAAGUUUUUGCCGCUGGACCGUGGUUACGUUCAUCCUAGCUUGGAGGCAACGGUGUGGGUGGGUAUGCAUGUGCAGGGCGAAGAAGUGGACGAAGGCCGAAGAAGCAAUCUCUGCCUCCCUAUCGCUGCGUCCUGCUCCUCAAUAUGUCACCUUAGUCAUGGCCGCCUUAUCCCUCAUGCUGCUGAUUUGAAUCUGCCCUACUCUUCUUCUCCUAGACUGCUCGAGCGCUUCAGCGGGUGCCUUGCCGACGACAGGGAAGGAAGGACCAGAGUAAGUAUAAUAUGGAAGUUCCUGUUCAAAUUAGUAGAAUAUGCUUACCAGGUGUUAGAAUUUAUAGAUAUAUACCACAAUUUUCACUACAGAUUAAAUAUAAUAUGAAAGUUCUUGUCAGUUUUCUUUGUAGUUAGUUUGCGACAAUCACAACAUGAUCAUUUGAAUAUUUUGUUGUAACAAAUCUAUUAUAGCUAUUGUUGUGAAAGAAAAAUCCUUAAAAAAUCACCCAAUAGCAACCCGAGGAAGUUAAGAGACAUAAAUGAUCCAGAUAUGGUUCCAUUAUGCUCCCUCUGUUUGAUAAUAUAUGACGUUUUCUGGCAGUACACAAUGCCAAAAACGUCUUAUAUUAUGGGACAGAAGCGAGUUUGUGAUUCUUUUGGUUAUUCUUGAUUCCACAUGCUUCAUUUGGGUGAAUAAUCCAUUGGCAUCCAAAUUUGGAGAUUAAUUCACCUAUUUAAUGUGCAUAGUCAAUGACACAUUUUUGCUAUGAUGAAUAUGUAAAUAAAUUUUGUACAAUUCCAUAAAUACACAGUUAAGCGUUUUUGUUGUAAAGAUAAUGUAGAUAAUUUUUAUAGCUUUGCAAAUAAGAUUAACCUUGGUGUAUAAAUCCGAUCAGAGUAGAGGUAGCUAUGCAAUGGUCUUGCGUCACAUCAUUAGUCUAAGGCUCUAACCACAUUCAUGGAGAAUCUAACAUCCCAACUACGCAUAUCUGUUUGUUCCGGAAGCCAAGAAAUUGAGGGACGCAGAAGAUGAACAAACCUGAGAAUUGAUGAUCGAAUGAAGAGUCGGAGCUCGAGCAUCACAUAGCCGUCAGCUAUGGUGGCUUGUGGGCGGAUGUUUCUCAGACCUAAGUUGUUGCCGCUGGACCGUGGUUACAUUCAUCCUAGCUUGGAGGAAACGGUGCGGGAAGAUAUGCAUGUGCAGGGCGAAGAAGUGGACGAAGGCCGAAGUAGCAAUCUCUGCCUCCCUAUCGCUGCGUCCUUCUCCUCAAUAUGUCACCUUAGUCAUGGCCGCCUUAUCCCUCAUGCUGCUGAUUUGAAUCUGCCCUACUCUUCUUCUCCUAGACUGCUCGAGCGCUUCAGCGGGUGCCUUCCCAACGACAGGGAAGGAAGGACCAGAGUAAGUAUAAUAUGGAAGUUCCUGUUCAAAUUAGUAGAAUAUGCUUACCAGGUGUUAGAAUUUAUAGAUAUAUACCACAAUUUUCACUACAGAUUAAAUAUAAUAUGAAAGUUCUUGUCAGUUUUCUUUGUAGUUAGUUUGCGACAAUCACAACAUGAUCAUUUGAAUAUUUUGUUGUAACAAAUCUAUUAUAGCUAUUGUUGUGAAAGAAAAAUCCUUAAAAAAUCACCCAAUAGCAACCCGAGGAAGUUAAGAGACAUAAAUGAUCCAGAUAUGGUUCCAUUAUGCUCCCUCUGUUCGAUAAUAUAUGACGUUUUCUGGCAGUACACAAUGCCAAAAACGUCUUAUAUUAUGGGACAGAAGCGAGUUUGUGAUUUUUUUGGUUAUUCUAGAUUCCACAUGCUUCAUUUGGGUGAAUAAUCCAUUGGCAUCCAAAUUUGGAGAUUAAUUCACCUAUGUAAUGUGCAUAAUCAAUGACACAUUUUUGCUAUGAUGAAUAUGUAAAUAAAUUUUGUACAAUUCCAUAAAUACACAGUUAAGCAUUUUUGUUGUAAAGAUAAUGUAGAUAAUUUUUUAUAGCUUUGCAAAUAAGAUUAACCUUGGUGUAUAAAUCCGAUCAGAGUAGAGGUAGCUAUGCAAUGGUCUUGCAUCACAUCAUUAGUCUAAGGCUCUAACCACAUUCAUGGAGAAUCUAACAUCCCAACUACGCAUAUCUGUUUGUUCCAGAAGCCAAGAAAUUGAGGUACGCAGAAGAUGAACAAACCUGAGAACUGAUGAUCGAAUGAAGAGUCGGAGCUCGAGCAUCACAUAGCCGUCAGCUAUGGUGGCUUGUGGGCGGAUGUUUCUCAGACCUAAGUUGUUGUCGCUGGACCGUGGUUACAUUCAUCCUAGCUUGGAGGCAACGGUGUGGGUGGGUAUGCAUGUGCAGGGCGAAGAAGUGGACGAAGGCCGAAGAAGCAAUCUCUGCCUCCCUAUCGCUGCGUCCUGCUCCUCAAUAUGUCACCUUAGUCAUGGCCGCCUUAUCCCUCAUGCUGCUGAUUUGAAUCUGCCCUACUCUUCUUCUCCUAGACUGCUCGAGCGCUUCAGCGGGUGCCUUGCCGACGACAGGGAAGGAAGGACCAGAGUAAGUAUAAUAUGGAAGUUCCUGUUCAAAUUAGUAGAAUAUGCUUACCAGGUGUUAGAAUUUAUAGAUAUAUACCACAAUUUUCACUACAGAUUAAAUAUAAUAUGAAAGUUCUUGUCAGUUUUCUUUGUAGUUAGUUUGCGAAAAUCACAACAUGAUCAUUUGAAUAUUUUGUUGUAACAAAUCUAUUAUAGCUAUUGUUGUGAAAGAAAAAGCCUUAAAAAAUCACCCAAUAGCAACCCGAGGAAGUUAAGAGACAUAAAUGAUCCACAUAUGGUUCCAUUAUGCUCCCUCUGUUCGAUAAUAUAUGACGUUUUCUGGCAGUACACAAUGCCAAAAACGUCUUAUAUUAUGGGACAGAAGCGAGUUUGUGAUUCUUUUGGUUAUUCUUGAUUCCACAUGCUUCAUUUGGGUGAAUAAUCCAUUGGCAUCCAAAUUUGGAGAUUAAUUCACCUAUUUAAUGUGCAUAAUCAAUGACACAUUUUUGCUAUGAUGAAUAUGUAAAUAAAUUUUGUACAAUUCCAUAAAUACACAGUUAAGCGUUUUUGUUGUAAAGAUAAUGUAGAUAAUUUUUAUAGCUUUGCAAAUAAGAUUAACCUUGGUGUAUAAAUCCGAUCAGAGUAGAGGUAGCUAUGCAAUGGUCUUGCGUCACAUCAUUAGUCUAAGGCUCUAACCACAUUCAUGGAGAAUCUAACAUCCCAACUACGCAUAUCUGUUUGUUCCGGAAGCCAAGAAAUUGAGGUACGCAGAAGAUGAACAAACCUGAGAACUGAUGAUCCAAAGAAGAGUCGGAGCUCGAGCAUCACAUAGCCGUCAGCUAUGGUGGCUUGUAGGCGGAUGUGUCUCAGACCUAAGUUUUUGCCGCUGGACCGUGGUUACGUUCAUCCUAGCUUGGAGGCAAUGGUGCGGGUGGGUAUGCAUGUGCAGGGCGAAGAAGUGGACGAAGGCCGAAGUAGCAAUCUCUGCCUCCCUAUCGCUGCGUCCUGCUCCUCAAUAUGUCACCUUAGUCAUGGCCGCCUUAUCCCUCAUGCUGCUGAUUUGAAUCUGCCCUACUCUUCUUCUCCUAGACUGCUCGAGCGCUUCAGCGGGUGCCUUCCCAACGACAGGGAAGGAAGGACCAGAGUAAGUAUAAUAUGGAAGUUCCUGUUCAAAUUAGUAGAAUAUGCUUACCAGGUGUUAGAAUUUAUAGAUAUAUACCACAAUUUUCACUACAGAUUAAAUAUAAUAUGAAAGUUCUUGUCAGUUUUCUUUGUAGUUAGUUUGCGACAAUCACAACAUGAUCAUUUGAAUAUUUUGUUGUAACAAAUCUAUUAUAGCUAUUGUUGUGAAAGAAAAAUCCUUAAAAAAUCACCCAAUAGCAACCCGAGGAAGUUAAGAGACAUAAAUGAUCCAGAUAUGGUUCCAUUAUGCUCCCUCUGUUCGAUAAUAUAUGACGUUUUCUGGCAGUACACAAUGCCAAAAACGUCUUAUAUUAUGGGACAGAAGCGAGUUUGUGAUUUUUUUGGUUAUUCUUGAUUCCACAUGCUUCAUUUGGGUGAAUAAUCCAUUGGCAUCCAAAUUUGGAGAUUAAUUCACCUAUGUAAUGUGCAUAAUCAAUGACACAUUUUUGCUAUGAUGAAUAUGUAAAUAAAUUUUGUACAAUUCCAUAAAUACACAGUUAAGCAUUUUUGUUGUAAAGAUAAUGUAGAUAAUUUUUUAUAGCUUUGCAAAUAAGAUUAACCUUGGUGUAUAAAUCCGAUCAGAGUAGAGGUAGCUAUGCAAUGGUCUUGCGUCACAUCAUUAGUCUAAGGCUCUAACCACAUUCAUGGAGAAUCUAACAUCCCAACUACGCAUAUCUGUUUGUUCCAGAAGCCAAGAAAUUGAGGUACGCAGAAGAUGAACAAACCUGAGAAUUGAUGAUCGAAUGAAGAGUCGGAGCUCGAGCAUCACAUAGCCGUCAGCUAUGGUGGCUUGUGGGCGGAUAUUUCUCAGACCUAAGUUGUUGCCGCUGGACCGUGGUUACAUUCAUCCUAGCUUGGAGGAAAUGGUGCGGGAAGAUAUGCAUGUGCAGGGCGAAGAAGUGGACGAAGGCCGAAGCAGCAAUCUCUGCCUCCCUAUCGCUGCGUCCUGCUCCUCAAUAUGUCACCUUAGUCAUGGCCGCCUUAUCCCUCAUGCUGCUGAUUUGAAUCUGCCCUACUCUUCUUCUCCUAGACUGCUCGAGCGCUUCAGCGGGUGCCUUGCCGACGACAGGGAAGGAAGGACCAGAGCAAGUAUAAUAUGGAAGUUCCUGUUCAAAUUAGUAGAAUAUGCUUACCAGGUGUUAGAAUUUAUAGAUAUAUACCACAAUUUUCACUACAGAUUAAAUAUAAUAUGAAAGUUCUUGUCAGUUUUCUUUGUAGUUAGUUUGCGACAAUCACAACAUGAUCAUUUGAAUAUUUUAUUAUAGCUAUUGUUGUGAAAGAAAAAUCCUUAAAAAAUCACCCAAUAGCAACCUGAGGAAGUUAAGAGACAUAAAUGAUCCAGAUAUGGUUCCAUUAUGCUCCCUCUGUUCGAUAAUAUAUGACGUUUUCUGGCAGUACACAAUGCCAAAAACGUCUUAUAUUAUGGGACAGAAGCGAGUUUGUGAUUUUUUUGGUUAUUCUUGAUUCCACAUGCUUCAUUUGGGUGAAUAAUCCACUGGCAUCCAAAUUUGGAGAUUAAUUCACCUAUGUAAUGUGCAUAAUCAAUGACACAUUUUUGCUAUGAUGAAUAUGUAAAUAAAUUUUGUACAAUUCCAUAAAUACACAGUUAAGCAUUUUUGUUGUAAAGAUAAUGUAGAUAAUUUUUUAUAGCUUUGCAAAUAAGAUUAACCUUGGUGUAUAAAUCCGAUCAGAGUAGAGGUAGCUAUGCAAUGGUCUUGCAUCACAUCAUUAGUCUAAGGCUCUAACCACAUUCAUGGAGAAUCUAACAUCUCAACUACGCAUAUCUGUUUGUUGCAGAAGCCACGAAAUUGAGGUACGCAGAAGAUGAACAAACCUGAGAACUGAUGAUCCAAAGAAGAGUCGGAGCUCGAGCAUCACAUAGCUGUCAGCUAUGGUGGCUUGUAGGCGGAUGUGUCUCAGACCUAAGUUUUUGCCGCUGGACCGUGGUUACGUUCAUCCUAGCUUGGAGGCAACGGUGUGGGUGGGUAUGCAUGUGCAAGGCGAAGAAGUGGACGAAGGCCGAAGAAGCAAUCUCUGCCUCCCUAUCGCUGCGUCCUGCUCCUCAAUAUGUCACCUUAGUCAUGGCCGCCUUAUCCCUCAUGCUGCUGAUUUGAACCUACCCUACUCUUCUUCUCCUAGACUGCUCGAGCGCUUCAGCGGUGCCUCGCUGACGACAGGGAAGGAAGGAUCAGAAGUGACGGCUAUAGCCCUAGGAAUUUGGAAACCAUAGGAAUUGAUCUUCUUUAUAAAACGUGUGUGGCAAGGGACGUGGAACCUGCUUCAGGGAAGACGAGAUGGAUCAUGUGAGAGAAGGGACCAGUUUUUUUUGCCAAUUGCCUAGUCCAUAUUGUCCAUGUAUUCGAAGCAUGCAAACGUGUGGCUCCUGGAGUUUGUAUUGCUCUUGGAUAUGUGUAAGCGUUUGGUUUUUUAUUUUUCCCUUUUUUGCUUUCCAAUUCGGACAUGCAUCAGUUCGUACCUGAUUGUAUUAGACUCAAACAAUACGUGUCCAAGUUUUAUUGCUCUUGGAUAUGUGUAAGCGUUUUGUUUUUUAUUUUUCCCUUUUUUGCUCUCCAAUUCGGACAUGCAUCAGUUCGUACCUGAUUGUAUUGGACUCAAACAAUACGUGUCCAAGUUUUUUUAAAACAAUAUGUGUCCAUGUAUUUCUUCCCGUGCGCCCUAGUGUUAUGGUUCUAUAUGCAUCUAACGUGGCAACAUAAAGGUUCAAUAUUGCUGGUACAUAUAUUUUUACAUGUUACAUAGAAACUUUAAAUCUCAGCCGUUGUUAUUCUAAUCAAAUGGUGUAAAAACGAUUAGCAUAUAUGGACAAACGUGAUGGCUUAUUUUACUCUUGUUUUAAUUAUAUAUAUAAUAGAUGGCCGCAGCUAGGCGUAGGUCGGGUGAUAUGCUGGAUUUGUAAACCGCGUUCGCGUCCGUCC